rnacentral:lncRNA from 1 species
GAGUUAGCGACAGGGAGGGAUGCGCGCCUGGGUGUAGUUGUGGGGGAGGAAGUGGCUAGCUCAGGGCUUCAGGGGACAGACAGGGAGAGAUGACUGAGUUAGAUGAGACGAGGGGGCGGGCUGGGGGUGCGAGAAGGAAGCUUGGCAAGGAGACUAGGUCUAGGGGGACCACAGUGGGGCAGGCUGCAUGGAAAAUAUCCGCAGGGUCCCCCAGGCAGAACAGCCACGCUCCAGGCCAGGCUGUCCCUACUGCCUGGUGGAGGGGGAACUUGACCUCUGGGAGGGCGCCGCUCUUGCAUAGCUGAGCGAGCCCGGGUGCGCUGGUCUGUGUGGAAGGAGGAAGGCAGGGAGAGGUAGAAGGGGUGGAGGAGUCAGGAGGAAUAGGCCGCAGCAGCCCUGGAAAUGAUCAGGAAGGCAGGCAGUGGGUGCAGGGCUGCAGGAGGGCCGGGAGGGCUAAUCUUCAACUUGUCCAUGCCAGCAGCCCCUUUUUUUCCAGACCAAGGGCUGUGAACCCGCCUGGGGAUGAGGCCUGGUCUUGUGGAACUGAACUUAGCUCGACGGGGCUGACCGCUCUGGCCCAGGGUGGUAUGUAAUUUUCGCUCGGCCUGGGACGGGGCCCAGGCCGGGCCCAGCCUGGUGGAGCGUCCAGGUCUGGGUGCGAAGCCAGGCCCCUGGGCGGAGGUGAGGGGUGGUCUGAGGAGUGAUGUGGAGUUAAGGCGCCAUCCUCACCGGUGACUGGUGCGGCACCUAGCAUGUUUGACAGGCGGGGACUGCGAGGCACGCUGCUCGGGUGUUGGGGACAACAUUGACCAACGCUUUAUUUUCCAGGUGGCAGUGCUCCUUUUGGACUUUUCUCUAGGUUUGGCGCUAAACUCUUCUUGUGAGCUCACUCCACCCCUUCUUCCUCCCUUUAACUUAUCCAUUCACUUAAAACAUUACCUGGUCAUCUGGUAAGCCCGGGACAGUAAGCCGAGUGGCUGUUGGAGUCGGUAUUGUUGGUAAUGGUGGAGGAAGAGAGGCCUUCCCGCUGAGGCUGGGGUGGGGCGGAUCGGUGUUGCUUGCCUGCAGAGAGGGUGGGGAGUGAAUGUGCACCCUUGGGUGGGCCUGCAGCCAUCCAGCUGAAAGUUACAAAAAUGCUUCAUGGACCGUGGUUUGUUACUAUAGUGUUCCUCAUGGCGAGCAGAUGGAACCGGGAGACAUGGAGUCCCUGGCCAGUGUGAGUCCUAGCAUUGCAGGAGGGGAGACCCUGGAGGAGAGAGCCCGCCUCAAUUGAUGCCUGCAGAUUGAAUUUCCAGAGGCUUAGGAGGAGGAAGUUCUCCAAUGUUCUGUUUCCAGGCCUUGCUCAGGAAGCCCUGUAUUCAGGAGGCUACCAUUUAAAGUUUGCAGAUGAGCUUAUGGGGGGCAAUCUUAAAAAGUCCACAGCAGAUGCAUCCGGCUCGAGGGGCCAUCAGCUUUGAAUAAAUGCUUGUUCCAGAGCCCAUGAAUGCCAGCAGGCACCCCUCCUUUCCUGGGGUAAAGGUUUUCAGAUGCUGCAUCUUCUAAAUUGAGCCUCCGGUCAUACUAGUUUUGUGCUUGGAACCUUGCUUCAAGAAGAUCCCUAAGCUGUAGAACAUUUUAACGUUGAUGCCACAACGCAGAUUGAUGCCUUGUAGAUGGAGCUUGCAGAUGGAGCCCCGUGACCUCUCACCUACCCACCUGUUUGCCUGCCUUCUUGUGCGUUUCUCGGAGAAGUUCUUAGCCUGAUGAAAUAACUUGGGGCGUUGAAGAGCUGUUUAAUUUUAAAUGCCUUAGACUGGGGAUAUAUUAGAGGAAGCAGAUUGUCAAAUUAAGGGUGUCAUUGUGUUGUGCUAAACGCUGGGAGGGUACAAGUUGGUCAUUCCUAAAUCUGUGUGUGAGAAAUGGCAGGUCUAGUUUGGGCAUUGUGAUUGCAUUGCAGAUUACUAGGAGAAGGGAAUGGUGGGUACACCGGUAGUGCUCUUUUGUUCUUGCUUCGUUUUUUUAAACUUGAACUUUACUUCGUUAGAUUUCAUAAUACUUUCUUGGCAUUCUAGUAAGAGGACCCUGAGGGUUGGUUAGAGAUACAGUGUGGGUGGUGGGGGUGGUAGGAAAUGCAGGUUGAAGGGAAUUCUCUGGGGCUUUGGGGAAUUUAGUGCGUGGGUGAGCCAAGAAAAUACUAAUUAAUAAUAGUAAGUUGUUAGUGUUGGUUAAGUUGUUGCUUGGAAGUGAGAAGUUGCUUAGAAACUUUCCAAAGUGCUUAGAACUUUAAGUGCAAACAGACAAACUAACAAACAAAAAUUGUUUUGCUUUGCUACAAGGUGGGGAAGACUGAAGAAGUGUUAACUGAAAACAGGUGACACAGAGUCACCAGUUUUCCGAGAACCAAAGGGAGGGGUGUGUGAUGCCAUCUCACAGGCAGGGGAAAUGUCUUUACCAGCUUCCUCCUGGUGGCCAAGACAGCCUGUUUCAGAGGGUUGUUUUGUUUGGGGUGUGGGUGUUAUCAAGUGAAUUAGUCACUUGAAAGAUGGGCGUCAGACUUGCAUACGCAGCAGAUCAGCAUCCUUCGCUGCCCCUUAGCAACUUAGGUGGUUGAUUUGAAACUGUGAAGGUGUGAUUUUUUCAGGAGCUGGAAGUCUUAGAAAAGCCUUGUAAAUGCCUAUAUUGUGGGCUUUUAACGUAUUUAAGGGACCACUUAAGACGAGAUUAGAUGGGCUCUUCUGGAUUUGUUCCUCAUUUGUCACAGGUGUCUUGUGAUUGAAAAUCAUGAGCGAAGUGAAAUUGCAUUGAAUUUCAAGGGAAUUUAGUAUGUAAAUCGUGCCUUAGAAACACAUCUGUUGUCUUUUCUGUGUUUGGUCGAUAUUAAUAAUGGCAAAAUUUUUGCCUAUCUAGUAUCUUCAAAUUGUAGUCUUUGUAACAACCAAAUAACCUUUUGUGGUCACUGUAAAAUUAAUAUUUGGUAGACAGAAUCCAUGUACCUUUGCUAAGGUUAGAAUGAAUAAUUUAUUGUAUUUUUAAUUUGAAUGUUUGUGCUUUUUAAAUGAGCCAAGACUAGAGGGGAAACUAUCACCUAAAAUCAGUUUGGAAAACAAGACCUAAAAAGGGAAGGGGAUGGGGAUUGUGGGGAGAGAGUGGGCGAGGUGCCUUUACUACAUGUGUGAUCUGAAAACCCUGCUUGGUUCUGAGCUGCGUCUAUUGAAUUGGUAAAGUAAUACCAAUGGCUUUUUAUCAUUUCCUUCUUCCCUUUAAGUUUCACUUGAAAUUUUAAAAAUCAUGGUUAUUUUUAUCGUUGGGAUCUUUCUGUCUUCUGGGUUCCAUUUUUUAAAUGUUUAAAAAUAUGUUGACAUGGUAGUUCAGUUCUUAACCAAUGACUUGGGGAUGAUGCAAACAAUUACUGUCGUUGGGAUUUAGAGUGUAUUAGUCACGCAUGUAUGGGGAAGUAGUCUCGGGUAUGCUGUUGUGAAAUUGAAACUGUAAAAGUAGAUGGUUGAAAGUACUGGUAUGUUGCUCUGUAUGGUAAGAACUAAUUCUGUUACGUCAUGUACAUAAUUACUAAUCACUUUUCUUCCCCUUUACAGCACAAAUAAAGUUUGAGUU